rnacentral:lncRNA from 1 species
CAUGUAUAUAAAUAAUUCGAUACUAUUAUCUUAGUAAUUAUCAAUCACCGGCAACUGGUUCAGGAAAAGUUACCACUUCUUCCAUAUUCAUAGCGAAAGGCCUCUCCUUGAUCGAGUUGCUGCAUUUAUUUGAAGGUAUCUAUUCAACAAGGCACGUAUUAUAAGUUAUAGCUCCCACAUCUAAAACUUGCAAACACGAGACGAUAAAAACAGCACAAAAAUCAGGAGAUUGAGAAUUUUUCGUAAUUAAAGCAGAUUUGACAUAGAAAAACUUUAUGAAAGCCGAUUUCAUCAAUUAAAAGUAAGAAGAAUCGAGACUGAUAAAAUGAUAGGAGGGAAAAACUCGUAUCAAAAUAGUUUACCUUAACUUUGUAGAAUUAAACGCCCAAAUUUCCAGAGUUUCUUUGGCUCUAUUUGUUGGUGGGGAUCACCAAAAGCCCCAAG